GUGUCUUUAGGAGCUGCCUUUCUAUCGGAUGGCGCUUGGCAGCAGUAUUCACCAAACUCUUUAUCACACCUCACAAAGACACUGAUGAGAGAAGACUUCCAGACCUGCCUCAGAGAGCGGCAAGAAUGAUGGCUGAGCAUGUUCUGAGUGAGGGGAAUGAACAGAAAAAGUCCUGGAAUUCCAGUCCCGGAAACCACGGCACAGUUCUCUGAUGGCACCUCAGCCUUGUCCAGAAAACAAGAACCAAGUGUUGACAGAAAAAGAACUUUAAUU
rnacentral:lncRNA from 1 species